UGGGGGAAUUUUGGACAAUGGGCGCAAGCCUGAUCCAGCAAUGCCGCGUGCAGGAAGAAGGCCUUCGGGUUGUAAACUGCUUUUGUACGGAACGAAACGGUCUGGGUUAAUACCCUGGGCUAAUGACGGUACCGUAAGAAUAAGCACCGGCUAACUACGUGCCAGCAGCCGCGGUAAUACGUAGGGUGCAAGCGUUAAUCGGAAUUACUGGGCGUAAAGCGUGCGCAGGCGGUUUUGUAAGACAGGCGUGAAAUCCCCGGGCUCAACCUGGGAAUUGCGCUUGUGACUGCAAGGCUGGAGUGCGGCAGAGGGGGAUGGAAUUCCGCGUGUAGCAGUGAAAUGCGUAGAUAUGCGGAGGAACACCGAUGGCGAAGGCAAUCCCCUGGGCCUGCACUGACGCUCAUGCACGAAAGCGUGGGGAGCAAACAGGAUUAGAUACCCUGGUAGUCCACGCCCUAAACGAUGUCAACUGGUUGUUGGGAAUUUACUUUCUCAGUAACGAAGCUAACGCGUGAAGUUGACCGCCUGGGGAGUACGGCNCGCAAGGUUGAAACUCAAAGAUUGC
rnacentral:rRNA from 1 species